UACGGGGGGGGCAAGCGUUGUUCGGAAUUACUGGGCGUAAAGGGUUCGUAGGUGGCUUGUUAAGUCAGACGUGAAAUCCCUCAGCUUAACUGGGGAACUGCGUCUGAGACUGGUGAGCUUGAGUGCAGGAGAGGAACGCGGAAUUCCAGGUGUAGCGGUGAAAUGCGUAGAUAUCGGAAGGAACAUCAGUGGCGAAGGCGACUUCCUGGACCAAUACUGACGCUCAGGUGCGAAAGCGUGGGGAGCAAACAGG
rnacentral:rRNA from 1 species